GCAGUUGAAAACAACCCUCGAACAGGGAACCUCGCUGCGCUAACUAAGGUCUUCCUUGCUAGAACCAGAGAGCUCAGGCUUUCGGCCGAGUGUCAGAACCACAUCUUCAUCUGGCAGACACACAAUGCCUUGUUUAUCAUCUGCUGCCUGCUGAAGGUGUUCAUCUGUGAGAUGUCUGAGGAAGAGCUGCAGCUUCACUUCACGUAUGAAGAAAAGUUGCCCGGCACCUACAGGAUAUCACAUAUGAGAUAUCAGUGGAGGCCAUCUCAGCAAUGAUUGUCUUCCUUUCCUGUCAGCUCUUCCACAAGGAGGUUCUGCGGCAGAGCAUCAGUCACAAGUACCUGAUGCAAGGUCCAUGUCUUCCCUACACCAGCAAACUUGUGAAAACCUUAUUAUAUAACUUUAUCAGACAAGAAAAGCCACCUCCGCCCGGAACCCAUGUCUUCCCUCAGCAGUCGGACGGGGGAGGACUGCUGUAUGGACUGGCGUCAGGAGUAGCAAGUAAGUCCUUCCAGACUUCACAUCCUCUGUCUUGGAAAUCUCUUCUAAUUAUCCACAAGCAGUUCUCUUCACUUGGCUGCUGCCAUUAGCCAUUCCAGUGGGUCUGUGCAGCUGGCCGACUGUAACUACGCGAAGUAAUUAAAAUAUUAACCCUCCC
rnacentral:lncRNA from 1 species